AGUAGUGUUUUAAGUGAAGAGCACUGUAGUUUGAAGUUUCAGAGUGCUGAGAAUGGAGUGUUUGUCCAUGAAUGGAGCGUCCAUGAAGACAUACUUAAGAUGUUAAUUGAAAUUUUUCAGUUGCUCAGGAAAGAAGGAAAAUUUUGUGGAUCCAGAUCACAGGCAUAGUUGGAGAGAGUACAUUUGAACUGACAUGGAGAAAAUGAUUUGUUUCAUACAAUGGAAAGAGUGUAGAAGAAGUGAGAGACACUUGAUAAAUUAAGGGCUUCAGGAGACAGCAGCUUAAAAACAAGUAGAAAAAACACAGUCAGUGAGUUCAAGAGUAAGAAAUGACUGAAGAAGGACUAUCAGUUCUCAGCUUUUGUGCUAAGAAUGCUUGCAUGGAUGGGGCCCCUGGUGAAGUAUUAAGAACUGACAAACUCCAUGAAAAGAACCUAAAAUACAGAGGUGCCACUGGGUAAGGUUAGGUCUAAUCUAAUAGAACAAUAGAAAUAUCUUUUGUCACAUGUUAAUGUACAUUGAUGUAUUUUGUAAGACAGAAAUCAUAUCAGAAAACAUAAGAAUGUUUUUAAAAUUUUUAUCAUCUGUAACUUUCUAACAGGAAGUGGAUUUGAUCAGAGGUCAGGUGCAGCAGCUCAUUUCCUUGCCGAUGUGGAUGGCUCUACAACCUAAUCGACUGGAGCAAGAGUUGAAAAAGACACCAAAACUAAAAAAAUUCUGGAAUCUAAUUAAGAAAAAUGAUGCAAAAAUGGAUGAAGAGUCAAGAAUGCAGUAUGUACAGAAGUAUUUUUUCCUUAAUGCAUUCAUUGUGUUUCAGCUAAAAUAAAUCUUUUCAAUGAAAUAGGUGUUUUCUGAAAACCCAUGGCAAAUGAGGAUUGAUCAUAUGUGGCCUCCUGGAAGCUGUUCUGUUUUUCAGUAGUCUAUAUGCAAAAUACUAUUUUAGAACUUUGUAUUUUAUUUGGUCAGUGAAUUCGUGAUAUCAAAUCUUAAAACUAAAGGAUGAAAGCUUA
rnacentral:lncRNA from 1 species